rnacentral:lncRNA from 1 species
CUGCUCUAUAAGAUCUUUUGGGAGCCUGUAGAAGCCGUCUUUUCUAGCUAUCCGCCAUGGCGGGUGGGUGAAAGACCCGAGCUAACAUGGGGUUAGUUCGUUAAAUUACGAUAAAGCCUCGUGCAGUUUGCAGCAAGCUCUCGAAUCCGCCUGGUGAUUUGGGUGACCGCGAACGUGGCCUGGGACCCCGGAUACUUGAGGUUUUUGGGGGUCUAACAAUACGAGACUAAUGCUAGCUCUUGGGAAAUCGAAGCAGUCCUGGAUUGUUAGAUGGCGAGAUGCAUAGCUUCACCAGUAGAGGGCAGCAGAGAGACUGUGAAGAUUUCUUCAGUCUGAACCUCCAGCUCCGCAUCAAUCAUGGAGCAGUUUCCCCCAGUUCCAAUGGAGUUGUCUGUUCCUGGCAUUCCACGCUGGGUUUCUCUGUGGCUUUGGAGGCUAUCCUGGAACUAGCUCUUGUAGACCAAGCUGGUCUCGAACUCAAAGAGAUCCACCUGCCUCUGCCUCCCAAGUGCUGGGAUUAAAGGUAUGCGCCACCACCAUCCAUCUUGUCUCUACAUUUCUUGAAUGACUCCAAAUAGCCCUGAUCCUUAAUAGGAAAGGACAUUUAGAAACUACAGUCUUGGUUCUAGGGGCUCCUCUCCUCAUUACUCUUCACACACAAGGGCUAGAAAAUGUGAUUUUUCGAAGAAAAUGCAUCAUGAUGUCAUAAUGGUACUUUCCAAGAAAAUUGUACACCUGAUUACAACUUAC